GCUGGGCAUGGUGGCGCAUGCCUGUAGUCCCAGCUACUCGGGAGGCUGAGGCAGGAGAAUUGCUUGAACCCAGGAGGGUGAGGUUGCAGUGAGCCGAGAUCGCACCAUUGCACUCCAACCUGGGUAACAAGAGCAAAACUCUGUCUCAA
ensembl:misc_RNA Metazoa_SRP Metazoan signal recognition particle RNA